GUGAAACGUUCUACACUGAUAGCAUCUGGGACGGCACUUCUCAGCAGUUUCCUGGGUGGAAAUGGCCAACUUCCUGGACUCUCUACCAGGUCAGAAGGCUGCGUAGCCAUGGACAGAGACUGAGAAUAUACUGGGAUUUGCUGCUUUGUACCAAAGACCAGAAGAGUCAUAAUGCCUGGAGAAAAGGAGACAUCUUUGCAGGGGGAGGAGGAGCAGGAAAAAGAAGAUAGAAGAAAUUAACCAGAAGACAAAUCUUACCUUUUGGCCUCAAACACUGUGCUGUGGGCCCCACGACUCUAGUUCUGGAGCAAGUCCAUAAAAGAAACAAUGGACAGCAGUGUGCUCCAGAGAAGAGCAAGACUUCAUGAGUGUUUCAUCUAAGACAGGCUCUCAACAUCAGUACAAACAUUGGCCUCCAGCCUGGUGGUGACAACAGGAUCUUACAAACAAAAUUGGAAGUGGAUGGCUGAGUAAAUUUUCCCCUGAACACUGACA